GUGCAUUCAGGUCACUGAGCAGUUGUGUGGACGUGUGUUAGGCUUUCUUGAGUUUUAGCCAGAGAGCCAGGCUACUAGCAGCUGUGCUAGACUUUUAAGAUGUGGAAAACUUGGUAAAUAUGCUAAAGUAAGAGACAGGAACCAGGCCAGAAAAUGGGGUGUCCGAAGAGAGUGGGAGGCCAUGAGGGGAAGUGUGCGCCGCAGACACCGGAAGCUGGGAGUUACGGCAAGAUAAAUCUGUGAGGGGCAGCCAGGAUGCAAAUUUCCAUCAUUCUUAGCAAGUCAGAACCAGGAGACCUCACUCUCUGCCCAUCAUGAUAAUUGUAAUUCCCAGGAUGAUCACUGAGGUAUGUCGGGUGUAAUACCGUGCUCAGCGGUUUCUAUACAGAACCGUGCGAAAAAAGUCCAAGGCAGGACUAAAGCUUUAUAUAUAGGGAAUUAAUGCCACUGUGAGUUUUAAAGCAAAACAUAAACUCAUUGUCAUGAGCAGCCAUGGGUUUACCUAGGCAAAGCUGCCUUUCUGCUGAAUAUUAGGUGAGCUGGGUUCAUCUGCUGACUGGCAGAUUCUGUCCUUAUUUUUUUUUUCAGAGUUGCCACUUUGUUCUUCUUUUUUUUUUUUAUUGAGUUAAUGAUGGGUUACAAUCUUGUGCAAUUUCAGUUGUACAUUAAUGUUUGUCAUUCGUGUUGUAGGUGCACCACUUCACCCUUUGUGCCCACCCCCCGCCCCACAUUUCCCCUGGUAUCCACUAAACUGUUCUUAGUCCAUAAUUUUAAAUUCCUCAUAUGAGUGGAGUCAUACACAGAUUAUCCUUCUCUCGCUGGCUUAUUUCACUUAACGUAAUUCCCUCAAGGUCCAUCCAUGUUAUUGCAAAUGGAAUGAUUUUGUUCUGUUUUACAGCUGAGUAGUAUUCCAUUGUAUAUAUGUACCACAUCUUCUUUAUCCAUUCGUCUGUUGAUGGGCACUUAGGUUGCUUCCACGUCUUGGCUAUUGUAAAUAAUGCUGCAAUGAACAUUGGGGUGCACAGGACUUUUGGGAUUGCUGACUUCAAGCUCAUUGGAUAGAUACCCAGUAGUGGGAUGGCUGGAUCGUAUGGCAGUUCUAUUUUUAAUUUUUUGAGGAAUCCCCAUACUGUUUUCCAUAGUGGCUGAACCAGUUUGCAUUCCCACCAGCAGUGUAUGAGGGUUCCUUUUUCUCCACAACCUCUCCAGCAUUUGUUACUAUUAGUUUUAGAUAUUUUUGUCAUUCUAAUGGGUGUAAGGUGAUACCUUAGUGUAGUUUUGAUUUGCAUUUCCCUGAUGAUCAGCGAUGAUGAGCAUCUUUUCAUGUGCCUAUUGGCCAUCAGUAUAUCUUCUUUGGAGAAAUGUCUGUUCAUGUCUCCAGCCCAUUUUUUGAUUUUUUUGUUGUUGAGUUGUGAGAGUUCUUUAUAUAUUAUGGAUAUUAAGCCUUUGUCAGAUAUAUGACUUGCAAAUAUUUUUUCCCAGUUAGUGGGUUGUUUUUUUGUUUCAAUCCUGUUUUCAUUUGCCUUGAAGAAGCUCUUUAGUCUGAUGAAGUCCCAUUUGUUUAUUCUUUCUAUUGUUUCCCUUCUCUGAGAAGGCAUGGUGUCCGAGAAGAUCUUUUUAAUACUGAUGUCAAAGAGUGUACUGCCUAUGUUUUCUUCCAGAUUCUGUCCUUAUUUUGCUUGACUUUUAUACAAUGACAUCAGCAAAUGGCUUAGACUUACCUGGUCUGACUCUUCUCAAAUAUCUGGCAAAAUUAAAUCCCGUUUGUUCUAAAGAAAAACUAAAGGGAGUGAAGGAUUGUGUUUUAAGUUCAAGUUUACCUAAAACACAAUCCCCUCCCCUUCCAUUUAUUUUCCUCCAAGUCCAAAUGGCAAUUCCUUUGUAAUUAGCCAGGAGUGUUAAAUAACAAAAGAAAACUCUGUUUUCUUCUUUGUCCUUCCCGGAUGGUCAGGAUUUGGAUCAGUAAAUUUUGGCUGUUCCUCUUUCCCAGAGCUGGAGUGACAAGGACCCAAGGCAGGACAUCUAUAUUGAUUUUAAUGACUUUGCUAGAGGUCACUUUGGGGGAAAAGUUUCAAAGCCAACCCACACAGCAGUGAGAGAUGACAGCAAUGUUCUGUGUGAUCCCCUUGUCACAUUAAUAUGCGAAUGAAUGUAACACACGAAUUCUUAGGAAAUAAUAUGUCAAGACAAGCUUGUCACUGCAGAGGAGAAUGAGAGUUUCUACCCUAGAUGACCAUUCCUCUUCUCUGACCCCUUAAAUCAGUGUAUCUCCUCCUGGACGUGUCAUCUAGUGGGUGAAAUAACGAGAAGAUUGCUCACAUAUUAGUAGAAAAAGGGAAAUGCAUAAUGUUUCUUAUUCAGUUUGUAUUUCACCCUGGAUCACAGAGCCAUUCCAGACUUAGAUUUUUCUAAUGAUUCCUUUUGAAUUAGAUAGACUUGGCUUUGAGUCUUGGCUCUGCAACUUAUUAGUGAUAAGGUCCUUGGAAAAUUGUAUAAACUCUCAAAUCUUCAUUUAUAAAAUGGGGGUAUUAACAUCUACCCAUCAGGUUGGGUGGACAUCAGGACUAAUGUGCAUAAAGUGCCCAGCAAAGGCUCUUAGCACACAGUAGAGGCUCAAAAUUAGCAGCGACAUUAUUCUUUCUCUCCUGACGGCAACUUCUUAGAGAAGUGGUGCUAUUGUCACAGAGGCAGCAUGGGACACGUGGGAAGGAAAGGCUGCGGGUACCAUCCUAAGAGUCCUUCUCAGAAGCUUACAGCAAAGAGCUGCAGUGUAGAUGGGGACACCGGAGGGAAUCGGUCUUCUAUUGCUUCACAGAUCACUGGAGUCUGCAUAUGCCAGUGACAGCCUGGUCCAGCGAGGCAGCUUUGAGGAGCAGCCUGAUCUGGAACCAUGUCAAAGAGCAAAUGAAGCAAGCGCGAGGGAAAUGACCUCCAAUAACCCGAUAGUAUGGGGUAUUGCAAUGUUAUAACCUAUCCUUUGCCACUUUCCCCACAUGCCCCGAACUCCUGGGCCAAAUGUGGGGACUUCGUUUACUCACAGCUGAAUUGCCAGUGCCAAAAACUUAAUUGUAGGUGUUUCAUAAUGAUUGAUGACUGAUUUACUGAAUGAAUGACACUCCUAGGCUCCUGAGGACCCAAAUGUGCAUUUUCCCAGCCUCAGAAAAAAUGGGCAUUUCGUAGGGCACCAAGUUUCUGAAGUCCAUUUUCUUGAGGUGCUGCUUGAAAUCCUUUUAGAAUUCACUCAAGCUACUCCUCUGUAGCCGUGGAAUAAGAGUGGAGGACCCAAAGAGAAGGUUUGAUGCAACACAACGGUUUUGUGUGCUUUUUUUUUGUGGUGAAAUUUGAGUAGUUUCCUUAAGGAACGAAAUAUGACCGGUAAACUUCCAAAACCUCAAAAAACCGACAGAAAGCCAACUUCGCCAUCUUGGCGUUGGCACAUACACAACUCGGCCACGUCCUCCUUCAAGCCUUUCCUUUGGCCUUUUCUUUUCAUUCCGUUGGCAGAAGUACCCAGUCUUUUGAGCCAUGGUUUCAAGACCAUGGUUCAGUUGCUCCCUCUUUACCAACAAGAAGCCUUGAUCCUUUUCUUUGUAGACUUGUCAAAAAUGUUGGUGAAACCAUAGCAUUAUCUGCAAAAAGACACUGCUAGAAUCCACGACUAUUGCAACCAGUUAUCUUUUAAGUGAUUGCCCAACUUAUUUUAAAUCAUUCUUUAUGACAGUGUAUUUAUACCAUAAGGAAUAAUGGGACAAGCAAUUGUCAGUGUUUGAAAAACAGAAGCUUACAAAUAAGUUUACCAAAAAUAGCUUAUUUGUAAGAACAUGCGGAGGAGCUCCCACGUGAACCAUAGUCUUCUGUUGUCCGUGAUGGACAGGCAGAAUAUGACCAAAAGCAGUGUAUUUUGGGGGUGCUGAGGAGCUUUCCAGGAAGGAGCUCAGCUGGGUUAUUGCUGGAGAACUGGUGUGGUGACACGACAGAACUCCCUCUGCAAAAGCUAGGGAACUUCCUGGAAAGAGCCUCAUGUCAGGGGAAGAAGUUGGGCAUGAAGAGGUUCUGAAUGCCGUGGGAGCGAGGGGCUGUUUCUCUAACCCGUUCCUGGUCCAGUCUAUUUCAUACACACAUGUGUCUAGAGAGAGAGAAGGCCAUGAAUAAAAAGUGGAAAGAUCUGUUUUAAUACACCUUAUAAAAAUAUUGCAGCGGAAGCAACAGUGCUUUGCGAUCCCCUCCCUCUGGCACAGUUUAUUGUUCCGUAGAUUGGGAACCAUGAGAACUCAGGACAUCAGUGACAUCACUGGUGGGGGACAGUCGUACCCUGGGGACCAACAAGAUGAGGCCUGGUACUUGGUGGCACAGUGGCAGCCCCAGCAGGAAGUGCUAAAGCUGGCGGUUUUUUCAGAGAGGCCAGCAGAGUUAAUAAAGUCAGGCUGCUUCCGCAUUCGCAGCAGAAGGACACGUGUGAAUUGUGUGUCCCCAGACAAGCCUUGCCUCUACUGAUAAGCUUGGUCAAAGAUUCCACUUUUAUUCCCUUAGAAAAAAAUUACCUACUAAAUGUUUAAAGGCGUGUAGUCUCUAGGCCAACAGCAGUUGCUGUAAUUGUUCUUAAAGGAUUGAUUGCUACAGUGUUUUAGUUUUUAUUUUACAUGGAGAAAAUUCCUUUUCCUUUUUCCUUUACAAACUAUUCAACACUGCAAACCAGCAUCUUAAGGACUACACAUCCCAGAACUUCCCUGCGGGGUCCUGAGUACCUGGAGCUAGUGUUAAAAAGAUCAUUAAGAGCAGAACAUCUCUUCAUUCCCGGUAGCUCCUGGUAAUUUGUGUUUAAAGACUUAGGCUCUGGCAGAGUUAAUAUUUACAGUGAGGUCAUAUAUUAUUUACAUGGACCCCAGACACCAAAACGCCUAUAAAUUCACACAUAGUUAACCUCCUUCUGCUCCUUCCCUUCUUUUCUUAUGAAGUCAAUUCAAGACCUAGUCUAUGAUCAGAUAAAAAGUUCUUUCAAUAAUUUCACCCACAAGCCCUUUAAAAGGAAAAUAAAAAAUGAAGAACUUCCAAGUUCUCGUUUAAUAGGAAGAAUCUUUAUAGACUUCAGAAGAAGUAGUUCUGGCUAAAGUAAGUGAUAAAAACGUGAAAGAAAAAGAAACAUUGCCAUUUUGUCCCUUGGAGAUUUAUUCAAAUUGCAGGGGAGGAAAUGGUUUCCAAGGGGUGAAGUCUUCCUCCAGAUUGUGACAAGUUCUUCCCAAGGAUUUCUGGGGAUAAAAGAAUGUGCCCAUGAACAAAACUAAUCUAAAAGGCAAAUUAUACUGCUUAACAAUAUGUGGGUUCACGAACAUGAAUUGACAAAUUACAUAUUGCACGAGAAUUCUUAAGCAAGGGCUCUCAACCAAGUCAUAAAAUUCUGCACCUCUGUGUCUGUUUCUGUGCCUCCUGCAGCAGCUCCAAGUUCAGGCUGCCUGAGUGUCCAGGUGUUGGGGCACCUCAGGAUUUCACCCCAGGCUUAAUCCAGCUCAGGCUACACGAUCCGCUUACCUUCAGGGACAGGAACCAAGAGAAUCUCCUCAGUUACACAGGAAUGAGGAACUGAGAGUGGGAGGUAAUACAGAAGGGCUGCUGGGAUCAUAGGAGCAAGCCAAUGCAAAAGCCAGAGGAAUCCACACAACAGCAAGUACAUGAAUUAUUAUAGCAUCAUUAUUCAAAAGAGCCAAAAAGUGUUAAGGACUCAAAUGUUCAUCAACUGAUGAAUGGAUAAAUAAAAUGUGGUGUAUCUAUACACUGAAAUGUUAUUCAGCAAUAAAAACAAAUGAUGUACUGAUAUAUGCUACAACAUGGACGGAUACAAAUCACCAAUAUCAGGAAUGAAAGGGGUUAUCCCUACAGAGCCUGCGAACAUUAAAAUAAUAGUAGGGAAUAUUAUGAACAACUUUAUGCCAUCAAAUUGAACAAUUUAGAUGCAAUUGGACAAACUCCUUGAACAACUUAUAAAAACGGACAAAGGAUGAAAGAGAAAAUUUGAAUAGCCCUGUAUCUAUUAAAGUAAUUGAAAUUUGUUAUCAAAACCUCAGAAAGAAAAUUCCAGGCUUAUAUUGCUUCACUGGUGAAUUCUAUCAAAUACUUAAGAAAAAAAUAAUUCUUUUUGAAAAUAGAGUAGGAGGAAACACUUCUAACUCAUUUUAUGAGGCCAAUGAGGCCCUAACACCAAAACUCGACAAAACAUUAACAAAAAAAGAAAAUUACAGGCCAACAUCUCUCAUGAAUGUAGACACAAGAAUCCUUAACAAAAUAUUAGCUAAUCAAAUCCAGCAAUAUAUAAAAAAGGAUAAAUAUUAUGACCAAGUAGAUUUUACCCCAGAAGUGCAAAGUUGAUUUCACAUUCAAAAAUCAACCUGUGUAGUUUAUCACAUAUAUGGAAUAGAAGAGAGACACCACAUAAUUAUUUUAAUAGAUGGAGAAAAAGUAUUUGGAAAAAAUUCAAUACUCCGUUGUGAUAAGACAAAAACAAAAGCAAAAAACUAUCAGCCAAAUAGGAGAAAGGAACUCUUUCAAUCUGAUAAAGAGCAUCUAUGAGAAACCUGGAGUUAACAUCCUACUUAAUGGUGAAACUGAAUACUGUCUCCCUAAGAUCAGGAACAAAGUAAGAACAUCCAAUCUCUAUUCUAUUCAAGGUCCUAGCUUUUGCAAUAAGGCAAGAAAAAGAAACAAAAGCGUAAAGAUCACAAAGAGCUAAGAUCGUCUCUGUUUGCAAGUGUAAAUGGUAGCUGUUACUUGGGAUGCAGCAUUACAAAUAGUCCAUGUCGACUCAAGAACAGCCUGUGGGAACCCUUUGCUGAGGCUUCUAAACUAGAGAGCGGCUAGUGGUCAGGCUUUUCAAGGCUUCAGUAACCACUCUGCCUGGAGUUCUCCUAUUACAGAUGAGCUGCAUUUACAUGUGCUCAGGUCUUGGGCAUCCACAGAACCUGCAGCCUGUGUCUCCUUCCUGGUCUGGAGCAAUCGAAUGACAGACACCACAUAGGUCCCCCUCUGCUGUGGAGGUACUGGACCUAAAUGAAUUUCCAGUGGAUUAUUCUAGCUUUUUUAGCUAUGUAGGCCUAGACAAUGUUAUAAGUUUUUGCUUUUAAUAGUCAUAUGAAUUUUCAAGAAAUUAAAAUGGAAAAUAGUCUUUUAUAUUUCCCUGGAUAUUAACCUUUUUUAUUUUCUUUUUCCUUUUCUUCCUUCCUGAAGAUCUGAGUUUCCUGGUGAUAUAAUUUUCUUUUGCCUGAAGAAUUUACUUUAGAAUUUCUUACGGUACAGAUCUACUGGCAAUGACUUCCCCUAGUUUUCUUUUAUCCGAAGAUAUCUUCAUUUUGCUUUCAUUCUUGAGUAAUAUUUUCACUAGGUACAGAAUUCUAGGUUGAAUGUUUUUCUUUCAGCAUUUUAAAGAUGGUGUCCCACUGUCUUCUGACCUCACAUUGUUUCUGAUGAACAGCCAGUGAUAGCUUGAAUCGUUGAUCCCCCAUGUGCCAUUUUUCUCUGUCUGCUUCCAAACUUUCCUCUCUAUCUUAGAUUUUCAGCACUUGUUGUCCUUAGGCAUGGCUUUAUUCAUAUUUAUUCUGCUUGAGUUUCCUUGAUUUUCCUGAAUCUGAAAAUUCAUGUCUUUCACCAAGUUUCCUCCAUUAUUUCUUCAAAUUAUGCUUGGCCUCAUUUUCUUCCUCCUCUCCUGGGACUCUAAUUAUGUGUAUGUUUGACGUUUUGAUAUUGUCCCAAAGGUCUCUGAGGGUCUGUUCAUCUUUUUCAACCAUUUUCUUAUUUUUAUUCAGAUUGAUUAGCUUCUAUUGAUCUACUUCUAUUGAUCACUGACUUGUUCCUUUGUCAUCUACAUUCUGCUAUUAAGUCCAUCCGUUGGAAUUUUUGGGGGGACUUUCAGAUAUUACACUUUUCUUUUGUUUUUCACAUAUUACAAUUAAUUUUUAAAAGAAUUUCAGCUUCAUUCUCGUAAAGGUUAAUCUUAUAUGUCAACUUAACUGGGUCACGGUGCCCAGAUAUUUGUUCAAACAUUAUUCUUGAUGUUUCUGUGAGAGUGUUUUGAAUUUAAAUUUAAAUUAGUAGACUUUGAGUAAAGCAGAUUGCUCUCCAUAGUUUGGGUGGGCCUCAUCCAAUCAGUUGAAGGCUUGAAUAGAACCAAAGGCUGACCUCUCACUAGCAAGAAGGAAUUCUGCAGCAGCCUGCUUCAGACUUCAUCUGCAGUGUGGGCUCUUCCUGGAUCUACAGCAGACUGACUUUGGACUUCAUGUGUGACAUCGACUCAUUUCUGGAUCUCCAGCCUGAUGGCCUUCAGACUUGAACUGUAACAUCAGCUCAGCCCUGGGUCUCCAGACUGCUGGUCCACUCUGCAGAUUUUAGACUUGCUAACUUCUGUAAUCACAUGAGCCAAUUCCUUAAAAUAAAUCUCUAUGUAUACAGACAUCCUAUUGGUUCUGUUUCUCUGGAGAUCCC
rnacentral:lncRNA from 1 species